UACGUAGGGUCCGAGCGUUGUCCGGAUUUAUUGGGCGUAAAGAGCUCGUAGGUGGUUCGCUAAGUCGGAUGUGAAAACUCGGGCUCAACCCCGACGACGCCAUCCGAUACUGGCGGUGACUUGAGUCUGGUAGGGGAGAUCGGAAUUCCUGGUGUAGCGGUGAAAUGCGCAGAUAUCAGGAGGAACACCAGUGGCGAAAGCGGCUUUCUGGGACAUUCCUGACACUGAGGUUCGAAAGCUCGGGGAGCAAACAGGG
rnacentral:rRNA from 1 species